rnacentral:tRNA from 1 species
GGGAAUAUAGUUUAAUUAUAAAAUAAUUUAUUUAAAAAUAAAUUGAUAACAGUUUUAAUCUGUUUAUUUCCG